GUUCUGCAGUGGUUGGGGACUCGGAGCAAGUGAGACAUACUUCUACGGCUUCUUGUUUGCACAGUAUCUCCGACAACGUCACUGUCGUGAGGAAGACUUAACCCUUCUCGAGUGCUUCGCAGCUCAGGAGAGGGCAACUGGGCAAAGCAGACACAGAAGGACAUCCUGGGUCCUGCUUCAGGCUCCCAGUCCCCUGCACUCCCUCCCCUCUCGAUUGCAAGGGAUGGAGAAAGCGUUUGCAGGCUCCAGCACAGUGGAGCAAAUGGCUGGCCUUUGGAAAAACCUCCCUUUCAGACACUUGGAGCUAGCCUGCAGUCACGGCCACAAGGUUCCAGCCAGAGGAAAUAGAAAACUUGGCAGGCUUUCCAUGGGGCUUCUAGAUGGAACAGAAGAGCCUAAAACACUGUUCUGUUGUUUGGACUGGGACUCCCUGUGGCCAAGAGUCUGUCAGGGGCCAUGUGCUCAAGCCACCAAGCUACCUGGGACCACAGAGAUCAGGCUGGGAGAGAUUCUACUCUGAGAUUCCUUUAGCCCAGGAUGGGAAAAGAGUAUCAUGACAGUUGGCCCACCUGUUCUUCAAGAAAGUGGGAAAGUGUGUUGUGUUUAGUAGAUGAAUCAUUGAGGAGCAUUGACCUCACAUAGGAUUUUCCAUCUCAGCUCUGUGUAUGUGCUGGAUUUCAGCCUCUAGAAUUCCAGUAUGCGGAGGGGUUUUAAUGGUAAGCAAAUUCAAUCUCCCCCACUCAUUCAUAACUAGCGGUCUAGUGAACAAAGCAGUCUUUGGUAGAACCACCCCACUUUCUGAUUUUGCAAACAUGCUUCAUUUCCACUUCCUAAGGGAGAAAAUCCUAGAAAGAAUGUGAGAUGACCAGAAGGGAACAAGCAGCAGCCUAACUAUGGACAAAUCCUACCAUCAAACUAAAAUCUUAAGCUUGCUAUGUUGGCCUGAAGAACAAAAUGGUUGGGUUGUCAAUCAUGGAGGCUUUUGAUUGUUUGUUUUGUUUUGUUUUUGUCAGUUAUCUUAAAGUAGUAAGGUCCCUACAAGAAGCUAAGUGGAUGAAGAUGUGGAGAGAUACUCAUAGAAGACUGAUGCUUUGCCUUGGACANAUUGUUUGUUUUGUUUUGUUUUUGUCAGUUAUCUUAAAGUAGUAAGGUCCCUACCCCCACAAGAAGCUAAGUGGAUGAGGAUGUGGAGAGAUACUCAUAGAAGACUGAUGCUUUGCCUUGGACGUAUGAUGCCUGCCUGGGAGAAGUGACCAGGCUGGCAACAUCUGAAAAAGGUGAGAGAACCUCCUGGUUUCUAGUCUGUUCUUUUCAAAUUUGUGUGCCUUCCAGUAGAAAUAGUUUUUGGCCCUGCUAAUUUUGUUCUUUCCCAUGUCUGCACUGUAGGGUUCUGCUAGAUUCUCAGGCUGGGAGAUAACUUACUACUCUGUGCCAGAUUCCUCUUCUGAGAUUUCUACUCCUUGAAAGGUGCCAGCCUAGAAUCGAAGAGUUGACUAAUUUGAGUUGGUGGAUCUGAGUUC
rnacentral:lncRNA from 1 species